rnacentral:tRNA from 1 species
GUUAGAAUGGCUGAGUUUAUAGGCAGUAGAUUGUAAAUCUAUUUACGAGGAGACCCUCUUCUAUCA